UAAGCGGAGGAAAAGAAACUAACAAGGAUUCCCCUAGUAACUGCGAGUGAAGCGGGAAAAGCUCAAAUUUAAAAUCUGGCGGUCCCUGUGGCCGUCCGAGUUGUAAUUUAGAGAAGUGUUAUCCGCGCUGGACCGUGUACAAGUCUCCUGGAAUGGAGCGUCAUAGAGGGUGAGAAUCCCGUCUUUGACACGGACUGCCAGGGCAUUGUGAUGCGCUCUCGAAGAGUCGAGUUGUUUGGGAAUGCAGCUCAAAAUGGGUGGUAAAUUCCAUCUAAAGCUAAAUAUUGAGGAGAGACCGAUAGCGAACAAGUACCGUGAGGGAAAGAUGAAAAGAACUUUGGAAAGAGAGUUAAACAGUACGUGAAAUUGCUGAAAGGGAAACGCUUGAAGUCAGUCGCGUCGCUCAGAACUCAGCCUGGCUUUUGCUUGGUGUACUUUCUGUUCGACGGGUCAGCAUCAGUUUUGGUCGGCGGAUAAAGGCUUAGAGAAUGUGGCAUCUUCGGGUGUGUUAUAGCUCUGGGUUGUAUACGUCGGCUGGGACUGAGGAACUCAGCACGCCGAAAGGCCGGGACUUUGUCCACGUUCGUGCUUAGGAUGCUGGCAUAAUGGCUUUAAUCGACCCGUCUUG
rnacentral:rRNA from 1 species